rnacentral:siRNA from 1 species
UCGUUUAUGCUAUUUGAUUGG